rnacentral:rRNA from 1 species
ACGAACGCUGGCGGCGUGCUUAACACCUGCCAGUCGCACGGAAAGGCCCUGCUUUUGUGGGGUGCUCGCGUGGCGAACGGGUGAGUAACACGUGAGUAACCUGCCCUUGACUUUGGGAUAACUUCAGGAAACUGGGGCUAAUACCGGAUAGGAGCUCCUGCUGCAUGGUGGGGGUUGGAAAGUUUCGGCGGUUGGGGAUGGACUCGCGGCUUAUCAGCUUGUUGGUGGGGUAGUGGCUUACCAAGGCUUUGACGGGUAGCCGGCCUGAGAGGGUGACCGGCCACAUUGGGACUGAGAUACGGCCCAGACUCCUACGGGAGGCAGCAGUGGGGAAUAUUGCACAAUGGGCGGAAGACUGAUGCAGCAACGCCGCGUGCGGGAUGACGGCCUUCGGGUUGUAAACCGCUUUCGCCUGUGACGAAGCGUGAGUGACGGUAAUGGGUAAAGAAGCACCGGCUAACUACGUG